rnacentral:rRNA from 1 species
GACAGAGGGUGCAAACGUUGUUCGGAAUUACUGGGCGUAAAGCGAGUGUAGGCGGUUUGGUAAGUCGGAUGUGAAAGCCCCGGGCUCAACCCGGGAAGUGCACUCGAUACUGCCAAGCUAGAGUAUCGGAGAGGUUGGUGGAAUUCUCGGUGUAGAGGUGAAAUUCGUAGAUAUUCGGAAGAACACUAGUGGCGAAGGCGACUUACUGGACACAUAUUGACGCUGAGGUGCGAAAGCGUGGGGAGCAAACAGG